rnacentral:lncRNA from 1 species
GGUAACCAUGACAACAAGAAGAGCAAAGAAACCCUGUACUGUGAAUGUCUCCCAAAGGCCCAUGCAUUUAUGGCAAAUGGUAGAGCCCUUAAGAGUUGGGGCCUUGCCAGAAAGUCAGAUCACCAGGGAUAUACUUUUGAAGAGGAUGUUGGGAAUCCAAGGGCUUCCUUGCCUUCACCAGGCAAACAGGAUUCCUCUAUCAUUGCUACAAUGUUCAUCACUUGCCCCAAAACACAUGUCCAACUGACCAUGGGCUGAAGCCGCAUCCUCCCUAAAGUUAAUUGCCCUGGUAUUCUGUCACAGCAGCAAAAACAGGUAGAUGUGACUCUUACACUCUCCACAGACUUCUCAAGCUCUGACUCCUGGACAGAGGUCUUUCUUUGGGAAACUGCUGGGCUGGGUCUUCUUUCUGGGUUUUGAAGCACCCUUUCCGCACCCCUGCUCACCACACCUCCAGGACCUGAAUGAGCGUCUUCAGUCUGCAUGGUGGCAGAGCCCAGAGGGCACUGGCUUCAUUUACUUCUUCAUUUGCUCAGUCAACAAUGAGCUUGGUGCUGAGGACAGCCAGAGGGCAAGGCCAGAGUGAACCUGCUUUCUGGAAGCUCACCUUCUACUGGGACGUGGACAGGCAAGCAAGCAUAAAGCUCUGCAGUAGCUGGACCCCAACAGUGGCUGGAGAGAUGGCUCAACGGUUAAGAGAACUGACUGCUCUUCCAGAGGUCCUGAGUUUAAUUCUCAGCAACCACAUAGUGGCUCAAAAACAUCUCUAAUGGGAUCCGAUACCCUCUUCUGGUGUGUCUGAAGACAGACAGCUACAAUGCACUCAUAUAAAU